rnacentral:lncRNA from 1 species
GGGGGGGAGGGGGAUUAAACGAAAGGAGUAUAACUCGUUAAAUAUUUGUAUAGAGCUGGUUGCUGGUCUUCUAACUGGACAUCAGGCGUGAGAAAGACUUAUUUUGUGAAAACAUCCUAGAAAAAUUGAAGUACUGGGAAUAUAGGGCCAGCGCUAGGCUUGAUCGUUUUCUUCUUUUUGUUUUUUUUCCUGUCAAAUGGAAUUGUCUUUCUCGCUUAUGAUAAAGGAUUCCUUUGCUGAGAUGCUUUAUCCAAAUCUGAAGUUGCCAUUCCUUUUUUUGCAACACCAAAAAGAUAUAAAUAUUACUCCUAAUAGCUUAUUUUUUGAUUAUCUUUUGAGAAUUAGCUACUUACAUAGUUGCCUGUUGCGAACUUGCAGCAACACAACACAGAGCUUCUUGUUGGUAUGGUGAGACAGCAGUUCAAAAAGCAUAUGCACGAGACUGAU